rnacentral:rRNA from 1 species
UACAGAGGUCUCGAGCGUUAGGCGGAAUCACUGGGCUUAAAGCGUGUGUAGGCGGAUCGUUAAGUGCCUUGUGAAAUCCCACGGCUCAACCGUGGAACUGCUUGGCAUACUGGCGGUCUUGAGCAACCUAGGGGCGAGCGGAACAAAUGGUGGAGCGGUGAAAUGCGUAGAUAUCGCUUGGAACGCCGACGGUGAAAACAGCUCGCUGGGGGUGUGCUGACGCUGAGACACGAAAGCCAGGGGAGCGAACGGG